GCCAGCAGCCAUAUCACUCUGCAACUCCCAACUGGCAUCCCACUGAACCUAAGCAGGUGUGAGCCUGGUCAGUACCUGGAUAGGAGACCUCCUGGGAAAAACUAAGGUUGCUGCUGGAA
rnacentral:rRNA from 1 species